GGGGAUUUAGCUCAGCGGCAUUAAGCACCUGCCUUGCAAGCAGGUGGUCGUGGGUUCGAUCCCCGUACCA
rfam:Cavia porcellus supercont2_25 genomic scaffold, whole genome shotgun sequence.